rnacentral:rRNA from 1 species
GACGAACGCUGGCGGCGUGCCUAAUACAUGCAAGUUGAGCGCUGAAGGUUGGUACUUGUACCAACUGGAUGAGCAGCGAACGGGUGAGUAACGCGUGGGGAAUCUGCCUUUGAGCGGGGGACAACAUUUGGAAACGAAUGCUAAUACCGCAUAAAAACUUUAAACACAAGUUUUAAGUUUGAAAGAUGCAAUUGCAUCACUCAAAGAUGAUCCCGCGUUGUAUUAGCUAGUUGGUGAGGUAAAGGCUCACCAAGGCGAUGAUACAUAGCCGACCUGAGAGGGUGAUCGGCCACAUUGGGACUGAGACACGGCCCAAACUCCUACGGGAGGCAGCAGUAGGGAAUCUUCGGCAAUGGACGAAAGUCUGACCGUGAAACGCCGCGUGAGUGAAGAAGGUUUUCGGAUCGGAAAACUCUGUUGGUAGAGAAGAACGUUGGUGAGAGUGGAAAGCUCAUCAAGUGACGGUAACUACCCAGAAAGGGACGGCUAACUACGUG